UUCCAAUUACCUAAACCACUUUAGAAUAAAGUCCCCAAUUUCCAAGUUUUAACUGAAGGACAGAAUCUUUUGAACACUUGCCAUGGCAGGCUCAUCCGGCAACAACCAUCCUCCUCCACAGCCUACGCCACCUUCCAGGGCGGCUUCGGCGGCUACUCCGCCAAUUGAUGAGGAUCAGGCCAAGUGGGGCACUCGCAUCAUGGGUCAGCCUGCAGCUCCAACAACUCAUCCAGAUAAUCAAAGGGCAGCCUCAUGGAGAGCUGAAGAUCAGCAGCAGCGGUUCAAUCAGCAGCACCCUUAUGUUGUUUAUUCACCUGUUGGAAAGCCUAGCGAUAACCCUUUGGAAUCUGUGGUUCAUAUCUUCAAUUCUUGGAGCUAUAGAGCGGAGACUGUGUUAUGGAAUUUCUGGACCUUGUAUGAAUAGGUUAAUCUUUUCGUAACAAUGGUAUCAGAGCCAGGCAACGAACCCAACGUCCCAGGUUCGAAUCUCGCAAAGGCUCUGCCUCGAUGAAGGGGGAGUCCCAAAAUUACCAGGCCGUCGAGGACGUCGACCUCUAAGGAGGGGCGUUUGUUAUGGAAUUUCUGGACCUUGUAGCAAAGAACAUCUGGUACAAUUUGAAAACUGGACCAUUUGUCUCAAGAACUGCGUGAAGAAACUUAAUUUGACCACAAAAGCAUUGACUGAAGGGGGAUUUGAGUCUCUUUACAAGCAGAUUUUUGCUACGCAUUGAAUUGAAAGCUUGAAGAAGACUUUUGCUUGUUACCUUUCAACCUCAACAGGUCCUGUUGCUGGAACUGUCAACGCUUCAAGUGGCCUUCUGCAGUGAUAGUCCCUUGUCCUUUAGAGCUCCUUCUGGACAAGAAACUUGAAACUAUUACAUGGUUAUGAUACCUUUGGCAAACAUUGCGAAUGUAAAUCCUGUUGUUAUGAAAGAAGGUCCACCGGAAAAAUACAUCCAGAUUGUGACAAUUGAUUGACACGAGUUCUGGUUCAUGGGAUUUGUGCAGUUUGAGAUAGCAUCACUUCAUCUCUUAGACAACAUUUCUGAUUUCAGAGCUCAUCAAAAUGCUUCAAUACCUAUCACAAGCUAGCCAGUGUGUUGUACAUUACUUUUGAUGCAUCCUUACCUCAUAUGCUUGGUUAUAUUGUUGUUUGCAUUUAUCCCUUUCGCUUAUUUUGUUUAAUGCUAUUAGGAUUGUAUCAUUGUAUCCUAAUUACAGAGCAAUUUAUAUAGUAUGAGUUUUGUUUGUUUAGACUGUGCUAGAAGAAACUUUUGUUCUAUUUCAGGGCCCAACGAGGGCAAAUGCCACAUGCAAUACAUGAAAAUCUUCUUCUUU